CAAUUUGGAGUGGUCUGCCUCCGUCUUCAGUCUCUCCUUGCUCUCCAUGGACACAGGCCAGUUUUGAAUUUCACCUGGGAAAUCCCAGGACCGUGAACCAACAGACACCCUACCCUGACACCGUCCAAGCUGUACAUGACUCCCUUUACUUCUUCACCCUGAAGAUGUUGCAAACAGUAUGGAAAGAAGCACCUCGGAGAGAGGAUUGUAGACGGCAUCACAGCAACAGCCCCCUUAGUCACGCCUUAAUACUGGAAUGCGUAUACAUCUUUAGUCUUGCUUCAAUAACGCUUGUCAGCCUCAGGCUCCAUGAAAACCGCCGCAUCCAAUGUUUGUUUUGUCUGUUAAUUUAUAACAUUUGGGGCCAGAUGUGAAUUGAAAAUCCUUCACCAAACUGUCAAAAGCAACAAUUAAAAAAUCUUCUCCAGGAAUUGCCACAGCAGUCACUCCAUUCCAGAUGUAGGACGGAAAGCGCACGAAAACGACAGGGCUGUGAGUUCCCGCGGCCAGGUUUCCAGCAGGACGAGCGCAGAGCGGCGGCCGACGACAUCUCGCGGCAGGCCUUGCUGUCCCGCGAGAGGUUUCCCGAUGGGUAGUUAUCUGACUUCCGGCUUCUCGCGGAUCAUAACCUUUCCUAGAGAGUCUGAGUUGCCUCGGAUAAUGAAGUUUCCAAAAUUUCCGUUUGGUGUUCCCCGAUGAAAAUGCUUGUUCACCAAGAGUCAGAGAUAAUAAAAUAUUUCAGCAAGUCUGUAAGAAGUGGGACACUAUUUCCACGUUCCAGGAAUCAUCCGUCUACUGUAAUAUCAACAUGAAUCAACUUUCUAAGAAUUGUCAAAUCUGGACCUUGACAACAUUAAGUCUGUGGACCAAUGGAAAAUAUUAACAAUUCACACAAAAAAUAUGUGUUGGUCGCCUAAUGUCUAUGAAGUACUGGGGACAAAAGAUGAUGAGAGAAAAUAUUCAAGGGAAGUUGAUAAUUUGCAUCCUUAUAUUACUGCCUCAUGUUUAGAUUCCUUCCAAAAAUUAGAAUCUGUUCAACAGUUAAAACUAUGCUGAUCUUAUCAUCAUGAACUCAUACCUUUAUUUGUAUUGUGGAUUGUUGUCAGGGAAUACCCCUAUACUCAGCAAGAAGUUCUGCAAGGAAGGGUCGUAAGACAUGCCACAGUGAGUGGAGAUAAGAGUAACAUUAUGUUCCAAGUCGUCAAGCCUUUUAAUUCUCUAGGACAGUUUUACAGUUCACAAGUCUAGUGAAUCCUUAGACUGUCAAUAAAGAUUUAUAGAAAAUCACUACCUAAGCACAGGUACUCCAGUGUAAAAAAUGUCAUUCUAUUUUACCGCAAAUCAUACCUACUGGGAUUCUGCCUCCUUGUUAUUUUGCUUGUUUUUGAGGCCUACACUGACUUAAUCCUGUUGAGAAAGGAAAUCUAAAUACUUUCACAACAAAGAAGAGGCUCUAGAAGCUCUCCAGAGGCCUUGACAAAUGAAUAUCAAUAGAUUUCCUCUAAAAGAAAAUAUUCUGUAUGUGAGAACUUUACUGAAAUAUAACCAAUUUAUCAUGGUUCCCCCCUUUUAUAUUAGCUUAUUUAUAAUAUCAUUUCACAGACAUGGUUCUGGCCUUGAAAAAUAUACGUCCUCACUUUAUAAUAUGUUGUCAAAGGUUAAAAAUUUUAAUUUGAAAAUAAAAAAGGAAUAUGGACAAUAUAUCACUAUUCAAAUUAUUUUCAAAUCCUUUGGUUUUGUUUGUUGGCAUUAGAAAUAUUAAAUUCUGUAAAAAAAGGCCGCCUCAGGAUUAUCUUCAUAUAAGGUUUGUAGCACAGAGAGUAACUGACAAGGCGUAUACAGAGACACACAGUCAACCACAUUAUGAUUGAUUUUGUUUUUAGUGAAAAUGGCAGUUGGUUAUGCCUUAAAGCUGGAAGCAUUGGCAGAAGAUAUGCUGAUACUUUGACAGUACAGGGAAGUGACACGAUAGAUAGGACUAGGCCAAAACCCACUCAAUAAAUACAUGACUAGUUUGGGACUGUUAGUCCCACAACAGACGCUGAUUAUGGGCAAUCAGUAGUUCCAAGGUACAAAUACUAAGAGAUAUAGUGGUCUCCACUGUAAUUCAAGUGGUUAUAAACAAACACCUUUAAGAUUUAUCCAGGGUGUGAGGUAGAGCAGAGGCAAAUCCAUUGUUCUGUCAAAUAUUGAACAAUAGGUGGGCAGCAAUCAGGAUUCUGAGAGAGAUUUACAUAAGAAGAAGUGGGAGCAGAUGCAGCUGUGGGGGAUGCUGGAGUCACCAAAGGCAAGGAACCUGGUAAGAACUAGCUAGUUUGCUAGAGUGCGACCAAGGGUGCAGUGCUGAGGGAUUGAAUGCUAGUCAUAGUGGUGAAUCACGGUAUUAGCCCAGGAAAUUAGGACAAUUGGAGUCAGAGUAGCCACUGAGGAAAAAGGUGAAAGCAAUAGGAAAAAUGGAAAAUGUUUUGCCUCAAUCUGUUUAUGAGCCUGAGGCUAGCACCUGGGUAGUGGAUCAUCAAUCAUCUUUCAACUAAAAAUGAUUUGGCUAAGGAAAAGUUAAAGGUCAUUUUAGGUUAUUGAUAAGCUAUGUAAAACUGGAGGCCGUCAAUUUACGGAGGCACUGUACUUUGGUUUCUUAUGAUUUUCUAAAGCAUAUGCCAAAAAAUGGUUAAUGGUAAGACUGACUGAGCAUGUUGUAUGCUUGGGCCAGUAAGUAUAACAGGUGAAAUAAUUGAUAAUAUAAUUAUUAAUGGAAUGUCUCACUUCCCAUCCACCAUGACACUGAGGUCCCUGGUGACCUAGUGAUUGUUAAUAGACUUCUACCAUAGGACAUUUAACUAAAUUGUUAAAAUGAAUUAAAAUCGCUUGGUGACUGACUGCAGUGUGGUCAGUCUAAUUAACAAUCUAGUUUGUGCAGGAAGAUACCCUCACCCUUUAUUGAACUUCUAAAUUUGCAUUAUAUAGUCACUGCUGUACGGCUCCAUGUUGGUUAAAAAAAUAAAAAAUAGCAUGGGAGAGAAAAAAUACAGUGAAAAGGUCUAGCUAUAAUUAUUUUCUCUGUUUUGCUUUGCAGACCAUUAAUACCACAGAGUUUGAAAUCUAUUCUUGAAAAGGUUUAACUGAACUUUUAGCAAUGUAUUUUGAACAGUAUUUUUGAGGGGCAGUUCAAAAUGAUGGAUAGCUUUUGCAAAGAUUAAAAAUUAAAAUUAUUAAGUGUGUCCUUGGGAAGAAUCGUUCAGAGAGGAUGCUACCAUUCAGUCUAGUUUCCAAACUCAAUAGUUUAUGAAUACAAAUAUUUUUAUGAAUCACUGGAGGAAAAUAAAGCUUUCCAAAACUAAGACAUGAUAAAAAUUAAUUGUAUUUUUAAAUGUUUCUAAUG
rnacentral:lncRNA from 1 species